CGGAUUCGCGCCCUCCCCGGAGUUCUGGCCAGGAGGCUCUGGCUGGAUUCCAGUUGUUACAGAGCUCGCUGGAGACUUCCUUCUCCCUGUGGCAUUUUCCCCGCUCCUCUGGCCGCCGAAGGAGUCCUGUGGUGCCGGGCAGGAAUGGGCUGCUUGGGGACCCAACGAGCUCCCAGAGCCUUUCCUGCUGCUUCCUCUACCCCUGUGUUUCGCUAGGCUCUCGAGAUGGACUCAGUUCCAGAUUGCCCAGCCUCACAUAUUCCUUCAUAGCAACACAAAGGGACUGAGACAAUAUAUAAGUUAACAUCUGCCAUGUAGUGGAGGUUCCAGAGAAAAAGUGAGAGAAGCUGAGUCUGCACCCUCAACAUGGAGGAAAUAAGCUCUCUUAGGACCAAGAACAGAGGACAGAGGAAGGACUCCAGCAUGAUGGGCACCAAGGGAUUUUGGUCCUUCUGAGAAAGAGGAGAGACAGGGUCUUCCUCUUUGCCUAAGCUGGAGCGCAUUGGUGUGAUCAUCGCUCACUGCUGCCUCAAACUCCUGGGCUCAUGCGACCCUCCCACCUCAGCCUCCUGACUAGUUGGGACUACAGAAUUGGUUCCUUCCAGUGAGUUCUUGGUCUCGCUGACUUCAAGAAUGAAGCCACAGACCUGUGCGAUGAGUGUUACAGCUCUUAAAGAUGGUGUGUCCAGAGUUUGUUCCUUCAGAUGUUCAGAUGUGUCCGGAGUUUCUUCCUUCUGGUGGGUUUGUCCUCUCGCUAACUUCCAAGAAUGAAGCCGUGGACGUUCACAGUCAAGAUCUAAGCAAACACACAAAUGUGAACAACAGGGAAAGAACCCAUUGACCUACCAAGACAGGCUGCCAACAGAAUUUUGAAGGCUUGCCAAGAUGCUUUUAUGGAGGUAGAGUGAAUGAGAUUCCGUAAGUGCAAAAUAAUCCUUUUAAGACUACCCAGAAAGUAAUAUAAGUGAACUAGUUAUAUAAGAUUCAGUGAGGACUACCAAAACAUUGGGAAGAAAUGUGGAUUUUAUCAUUCAAGGAAAUAUAAUUUUAUUGUAAGAUAUAAUCUUUGUUUUUGUAGUCAAAUAGAAACAUUCAUGCCUUAAUACAACGUUUGGUAAAAAGAACUGAAGAAGACACCAUAGAAGAUUUUAACAAACAAUGAACUCAUUAGCUAAAAGAUUUGUCAUGAAAUAAUGAUUGAUUUAGUUGUUUUCUAAAAUAUUUCUAGUGCCUAUUAGAUGUUGAAGGAGACUUUGAUCAUGAAGUGUGUUCUCUGAGGAGCUGCUAUUUUUAUUUUUAUAUUUGUUUGAAGUGAAUUGUCCUGCUAAUUCUUUAACAUAAAAUAUCUUCAAUUACAUGAUUCAACAUUUUAAAAAGUGAUUAAGACAGAAGAAUAUGUGCUGGGAUUUAUUUUUGGAUCUUUGAAGUAGCAAAGAGUAGCAGAACUCCUUAAUCCAUAGAGUGGUUAUUUUGCUGUAUGAUGACUCUUGUAUUUACUCCCUGAAUUACCCUUUCCACUAAAAAGUAUUAAUGAGACAUUAGUAGGCUAUAGAAAAAAAUACUUCUGAUCUACUUAGAAAUAUUCAUGAGGUUUUCUCCUGGUGGAUUCACAUCAAAUUUUAUUUUUUAAAACCCCAAGUAUUUUUAUUUGAUGAUUAAUAAGUAAGAUGGAGGCUGGUAGGUGGAAAUCGCCAGCAGGAAAAUAAAAUGCUUUGGCUAAGCCGACAACUGCUACUGUCCUCCUCUGUACAGACUCUCCUGCUGAAGACUCACGGAGGCUUAUUUCAAGUCUUCUUUAGUUCAUUACCUGCAUGUUCAAAUGGAGCUGGUACUGUGACUCACAGCUUUCUGUCCAAGAAUGCGAUUUGUACCUCUACAAAUCUUCUACACCUUCUUCAUCUAGUAAACACUUACUCUACAGGUCUCAUCUCAAAUCUAUUACUAUAUGCAACUAUAGUACAUAAGCAAGCCAUUUAAAAAUGUUAAAGGAAGAUAUGCAUUGAUAUGGGUUGGCUGUUUUCCCACCCAAAUCUCAUCUUGAAUCGUAGCUCCCAUAAUCCACACGUGUCAUGGGAGGGACCCAAUGGAAGGUAAUUAAAUAAUCGGGGUGGGUUUUUCCCAUGCUGCUCUCAUGAUAGUAAAUAAGUCUCAUGAAAUCUGAUGGUUUCAUAAUAUAAAGGGCAGUUCCCCUGCACAUGCUCUCUUGCCUGCCACCAUGUAAGAUGGGCCUUUGCUCCUCCUUUGCCUUCUGCCAUGAUUGUGAGGCCUCUCCAGCCAUGUGGAACUGUAAGUCCAUUAAAUCUCUUUUUCUUUAUAAAUUACCCAGUCUUGGAUAUCUCUUCAUAGGAGUGUGAAAAUGGACUAAUAGAUACAUAUAGGUACACAUACAUGUAUACAUAAAGCCAUUCCAAAAGACUUUGCUUCCUGAAGUUUGUAAAUGUAAACAAAUUUAUUGUACCAUCAUUUAGGUUACUACGUUGCUCACUAACAUAGAAACAAUAUCUAAAAUGGGUACUUAUAGGGUUAUUAAAAUAUAGUAUGAAUAUGGCUACUGGAAAAAAGUCAAAGAUAUAUUUUGAGGCCACUACUCUACGUCUCUUGAUGUUCUCUUGUACACAUUUGAUAUUGCACAAAAGCCAAAAGUUUGGACUCCUUUGAUUAAAGGCAAGGUCAAGUAAUCCUGCUGGUUCUACCUCUCCUCCCAUUUCUUAAAUGAAAGGAUGUAGUCAUAUAAGGUGCUGUUUAGUAAAAUGGUGCCGUGAAUUCAGCAUGAAAUGUCUGGGCAAGUGUUUUUCAAGUUGUCACAUAUAUACUAUAUUUAUCUUCCUCCUUUUCCCUCCUCAACCUCAGUCCCCAUCACCCAGUGUUUCAUAAGGUUUUACUUUCUGUAGCUUAUACUGUAAAACCAGGAGUUCCCUUCCUCCUCUCCCAAAUAUAACCUUUUCUAAUAAUAUUAAUUGCACUUUCCCUAACUAUACAUACCUCCCUGGAGAUUUUGAACUGUAAUUCUUUCUCUCCUCCAUUUUCCUUGAGCAUUUUUCAUCUAGUGGAAUAUUCGGUGGCAAAGCUCUCAUUCUGGAAGAAGUUUAGCCAUGUAAGCAUAGAAGAAAUAAGCCAACAAUGGUAAACAUAGUUAAUGCAUGUAGUUAAGUCUUCUAAACAUGUCACUUGAAUGAUGUCACAUUUUGCUUUUUCAAACUAGGAAUCAACAAAAUGGAGGAACAUUUGAGGUUUGUUAAGAAAUUUCCCUUCUUAGCCAUAGAACUAAGAUAUUUUUAAAUAAAGAAGAUCAUAGUGGGCCAUAAAUGAUGUGCCUUUCUAGGAUCCCAAAAUGUUUUAUUGAUUGAAUUAUAUAGAGAGAUUUAAUGGAACCGUGGUUGAAAAAUGCUUUUAAAGUCUUUGAUCACUGGGAUAUCAAUGGAACAAAUGGGUUAAAACAUUUUCAGAAUUUAAUCAUUUAUCUAGGUAACAGGGUUGGGGGUAAAUGGCGGGAGAGAAGGGGAGGGCCGGGGCAUUAAUGAAUAGUACUCCAUGUAAAAAGAAGAAUUGACUAGUAACAUCUGUACUAUUUAAAUUAACAGGCUGGCAUAUAUUGUUGUGCAGGUUUUGCAUUGCCCAAUUCUUGGGGGGGGCGGCAUUCACAUUUGUAGUCAUUAUGGGUUCCUCUAUUUAUAAUGCCAAUUUUCUAGCAGAUGUUGGUUUAUUGCCUUGAGAAACUGUUAGAUUCCUCUAAUUUUUGCAAAGAUGGCUUUGGGAAGUUGAAAGAUUACCUGAUUACUAUUAGAGAAUCCUGCUACCAAUACAUACUUGUCUUGUAUAAUUUGGGCAAAAUAUAAUAUUCCUGAAUCUUAGAUUCCUUGUUUGUAAAAUGUUUAAAAUAUAUCUAAAUGUAAGAAUUGUUGUAGCAUAUAUAUGUGAGUACAUGAAUGUGGCCGUCACAGCAGCUGUAAGUGGAAGAUAUUAUAAAUAUUGUUAAAACCUUCUGAUGUUUUAUUUUAAGCUGAUAGUUUUUCUUUAUGCUGACUUUACAGUGAGUUUUAAACAUACACUUGAGUUUAUCAUUUGUAUAUAACUACUGAUAGAAAUCUGAUGAAAAACACUAAUAGUAGUUUAUAAAAGAUUUUUUUCAAUAUGAACUUUUUGUUUCCAUUGUGAGAAAUUAAAUUUCAAAAUGUAAUUAUUAAAUGUAUGCCUGACUUUCAAAUGUUUUUCUAUAUCCAGCUAAUUAAAAAUAUUUAUAACGUAGUAGUAGUUAAAUGUCAUGUUCGCCUUAUUAGAAAGAAUGCCUUCAAAUCAGUAUUAUCAUGAUUACCAUUUAUUUAACAUCUUCAGUAUGCAGGGCAUUUAUAAAAUCUGUAGAAAUUAAUUUUCUCUAAAUGCAACAAGCUUUAUGACCAGCACUCACUGUCUAUAAAAGAUGACUUGCUUGGCAGAAGAGGAAACAGUUUCUUCAGACCUUCCAGCCACAGUCAGCCCUGGUGACAUUGCAUAUCAGCUUCUAAAGGGCCUCGCACAUUCCUUGGCUUGUGAUGUCCCUUCCCCAUCAUCAAAGACAGCAACGAAACUUCAGGCUACCAUACCUGCUUCAACUGUAGGAGAAUCUUAGUUCUGGAGAGUUGACCCUCCAGGCGAAGCAUUAGGCUUUGAUACAAUUUGUCUGGUACCGGCUGUAGAUCUGGUUUGGGCCCCAGACUAUCUUCCCUGUCCUCAAGAAUCAAAACCAACUUGGAAUGACUCCUGGCCCACUCAGCACCUUUCCGGAAGCCAGAAGAAUGAAGUGCCACACAUAUCAUCAGAGAGAAUUCCAAGGAAGAGGGAAUGGUCUAUAGUGUCUCAAGCCACAUUAAUCCUUCAAGAACAGUGUUAACUUUCUCAGGCUACUGGAACUCCACUUUUUGGAACUGUUAUAUUUACUGUUGGGGAGUGACUUUGGCACCAAGGAGAACUUGGCUCAAAUGAAUGGUUUUGGAUCACACAUCUUCAUGAUUUGGGAAUGAUAUGUGUGUUUAUUUUAUGAAAAAUGUUAGUAAUGAAGCAUUUAAAAUAUAUCAAAAGGAAAAUCUCCAAGAGUUGGUGAAUCAUGCUGUUGCCAAUAAUAGGCAUGUGACAUAACUGAACAUUUCAUCAUCUUCAGUAAAUAAUCAAGAUGAAUCUAAUGUCACCUUUGCAGAGAUGACAUGCUGGGUCUGUGAUCACCAGGGAUCCAAAUGCCUUCGAUCUUGGUGCUGGCUCACAAUCACCAAGUGGCUUCCACCUCACAGUCUGCUGUGGUUGAUUAAACUCCAGCAUCUUAUUGAUGUUCUAGCUGGCAGAAACGAAAAAGAACCCAACAAGGGCAAGGUUGAAUUACAAAGAAAGGAGAAAAUAUCCAUUGGAGGACUACUAUCAACCUCUGCCACAAUUUCUACAUUUUCUCAACGUAUGAAAUUUUAAAGUAUACUACUAAAUUUUAAAAAUUAUUCGUAUUCAUAUUUUCAAUGGUAAAACUAUCGAGCAUUCUGUUGUUUGUGCCAAUUGUUUUACCAAAAAUUUUAGAUACAAGAAGAGACAUUUAUAACACAAGGUGUUUCUAACUGGAAAGUAAGCCCUGGAAAAAUUUAGGAAACAAGAGAGAUGUGAAACGUGCUUUAUGUUAUUGUGAUUUUGAAAUCUAUUUUUUGGAAAAACUAUGCUUAUAAAUAAUUGAAACUUUAAGAGAGGUUGAAGACAGUGGAGCACAAUUAAAUUUUGUGGUUAGAAGGUUGCAUUUCUAAAAAAAAAUGUUUACUAUUGAGAGGGCAUUACAGUGCUAUGAGGGCAGGAAUUUUCGUUCAUUUUCUUCACUUAUAUUUUUUGCAACCAGAGUAGUGUGUCGAACACAGUAGGGGCUAGAUAAAUGUUGAAUUAAUGAUUGAUCAAUUGGUGGAUUAAAUUAGAGUAAAAGAUGAAGAAACAUUUCUUUUUAUUUAUUUAUUUAUUUUUAUUAUACUUUAAGUUUUAGGGUACAUGUGCGUAACAUGCAGGUUAGUUACAUAUGUAUACAUGUGCCAUGUUGGGUGAAGAAACAUUUCAACACAUGAAUUACAAGCAGAUUUUUACAAAAGAGCACACAUUUAAUACUAAAUUUGAAAAUUCACCAAACAUAGUAAUAACAUCAGUUUUUCCUUAGCUUAUUCGAUAAUACGAGAAAACUGUGUAGGGAAAGAACAACUUGAGUACAUAUAAAACCCACUGAAGAUGUCAAAAUGUAUCCAAAUUUAAAAGAGGCUCUUAAAUUUUAUCAAGCUAAGAGAAGUCUGGGACUAAGCAAGAAUUUAUUUGUAGCAAGUCACAAAAUAAAAAUAAAUUAUGUGGCCUAGACUGCAACAGUCAUAAAAUUGUGGGAAUUUUAAUGAAGUUCUUUCUGAAUUUAAAGAAAACCACAGAGGUUUCCUUAUCAUUAUGCAUGCCUUUUGCAUUUAUGAGUGAUAAUGUUUCAUGAGUAAGUAAAAAAGUUGUAAAAAUCCUAAAUACUGUAUGUCUUUAUAUGCUAUCACUCAGAAAUAUGCAAAAAGAUAAACACUUCCUCACAAUAUGUAAGCAGAACAAAGGCAUUAGAAGUAAGCUAUGCAAGUUGUAAAACAUGGGUUGACAUGUACUUAGUCUUAUUUUAUUGGUAUAAUUGAGACACAUCUGGAGAUUACUGAGUCUUGAAAUAUGCAGAUGACUGAUGAAUUAAGUGUUUGGCUGACAGAUUUCAAAUUUGAAAUUAUAAUUUCUUUAAAAUGCUUAUUUAAAAAAAGUCUUCUGUUGUGAUUAGAAUUCUUUUUCAAGGAUGGAAAUGUAAAUAUAUUAUGGAUCCUUUUCCUUGGCCUUCAACAGAGAGCCAUGAUUUCAUUUUUUUGUCAAAGAGAGACAAUAAAUAUUUUAAAUAUAUUUGGGAAAGAGAGAAACUAUAUGUCACAAACCAAUCUCUAUCUAAAUCUUUCAAAGUACACAUGCCCUGUCUUUAAAACAGGCAAU
rnacentral:lncRNA from 1 species